AUGCUUAUCUGGCUGGGAAAAUACCAUGAUUAACAAAAUGAGUUUGCCAGAAUGAAGCUCAUCCAUUACCCUUCAGAAAUACUGACCCUGAGAUUUUCACCACUGGGGUAAAUUUGAGGUAUAAUUUGUGGUAGCAGGGUGCUAUAAUCAUGGUCUCUUU